AAAGAAAUCAAGUUUCCUUUCAGUUUUUAAGCCAUCUAGAUGGUAAUACUAACCUAGUCGUGGGAAGUGCCGGCGACGUUCUAUGGAACCUUCAAGCGACACGCUUUUGAAAUUUCUAACAUAAAGCCAUCUUCGGCUUUUCGCCUCGCCAAUACCGUCAAAGCCUAGACAAGGAAAUUUCGACGCCAAGCCAAAACCCCUUAUAUAUUAUUACCCUUCUCCUUAUC
rnacentral:misc_RNA from 1 species